rnacentral:lncRNA from 1 species
AUAUAAAAGCACUAUUUGUUCUGGCAGUGUUGCAGUGAGUACAAUGAGGAAGACUCAGUGGGAAAGAAACGCCAAGUUGUAUAUGAAGUGAGGUUUAUCAAUGAGGAGAUUUUGUCAGUGUUUGAUAGAUUUUUAAGGUUUGUGGCUGCAUCCGAGAAUAAGAUUAUGGCGGUAAUGGAGUAUAUUGUGAAUGAAGUGGGGUU